rnacentral:rRNA from 1 species
UGUAACUGACGCUGAGGCGCGAAAGCGUGGGGAGCAAACAGGAUUAGAUACCCUGGUAGUCCACGCCGUAAACGAUGAGUGCUAGGUGUUAGGGGUUUCGAUGCCCUUAGUGCCGAAGUUAACACAUUAAGCACUCCGCCUGGGGAGUACGACCGCAAGGUUGAAACUCAAAGGAAUUGACGGGGGCCCGCACAAGCAGUGGAGCAUGUGGUUUAAUUCGAAGCAACGCGAAGAACCUUACCAGGUCUUGACAUCCUUUGACCACCCUAGAGAUAGAGCUUUCCCCUUCGGGGGACAAAGUGACAGGUGGUGCAUGGUUGUCGUCAGCUCGUGUCGUGAGAUGUUGGGUUAAGUCCCGCAACGAGCGCAACCCUUGAUCUUAGUUGCCAGCAUUUAGUUGGGCACUCUAAGGUGACUGCCGGUGACAAACCGGAGGAAGGUGGGGAUGACGUCAAAUCAUCAUGCCCCUUAUGACCUGGGCUACACACGUGCUACAAUGGAUGGUACAAAGAGCAGCGAAACCGCGAGGUCGAGCCAAUCUCAUAAAGCCAUUCUCAGUUCGGAUUGUAGGCUGCAACUCGCCUACAUGAAGCCGGAAUUGCUAGUAAUCGCGGAUCAGCAUGCCGCGGUGAAUACGUUCCCGGGCCUUGUACACACCGCCCGUCACACCACGAGAGUUUGUAACACCCGAAGUCGGUGGGGUAACCUUUUGGAGCCAGCCGCCUAAGGUGGGACAGAUGAUUGGGGUGAA